UAGGGAAUAUUGGACAAUGGGGGCAACCCUGAUCCAGCCAUGCCGCGUGAGUGAAGAAGGCCCUCGGGUUGUAAAGCUCUUUUGUCCGGAAAGAAAAGCAUUCGGUGAAUACCCGGAUGUUCUGACGGUACCGGAAGAAUAAGCACCGGCUAACUUCGUGCCAGCAGCCGCGGUAAUACGGGGGGUGCAAGCGUUACUCGGAAUCACUGGGCGUAAAGGGAGCGUAGGCGUUUUAUUAAGUCUUGAGUGAAAGCUCGCAGCUCAACUGCGGAACUGCUCAGGAAACUGAUAGAAUUGAGUAUGGAAGAGGUAGGUGGAAUUUCCGGUGUAGGGGUAAAAUCCGUAGAUAUCGGAAGGAAUACCAGAAGCGAAGGCGACCUACUGGGACAUUACUGACGCUGAGGCUCGAAAGCGUGGGGAGCAAACA
rnacentral:rRNA from 1 species